GUGCCAGCAGCCGCGGUAAUACGUAGGGGGCGAGCGUUGUCCGGAGUUACUGGGCGUAAAGGGCAUGCAGGCGGUCGUACGCGUUUCGGGUGACAGCGGGUGGCUUAACUACCCGAGUGUUCGAAAGACGGUACGACUUGAGGGCUCGAGAGGGACACGGAAUUCCGGGUGGAGUGGUGAAAUGCGUAGAGAUCCGGAGGAACACCGAAGGCGAAGGCAGUGUCCUGGCGAGUGACUGACGCUGAGGUGCGAAAGCUAGGGGAGCGAACGGGAUUAGAUACCCCCGUAGUCC
rnacentral:rRNA from 1 species